GUGGGUGAAGAAGGCCUUCGGGUUGUAAAGCCCUUUUGUUGGGGAAAGAAAUCCAGCUGGCUAAUACCCGGUUGGGAUGACGGUACCCAAAGAAUAAGCACCGGCUAACUUCGUGCCAGCAGCCGCGGUAAUACGAAGGGUGCAAGCGUUACUCGGAAUUACUGGGCGUAAAGCGUGCGUAGGUGGUCGUUUAAGUCCGUUGUGAAAGCCCUGGGCUCAACCUGGGAACUGCAGUGGAUACUGGGCGACUAGAGUGUGGUAAAGGGUAGCGGAAUUCCUGGUGUAGCAAUGAAAUGCGUAAAGAUCAGGAGGAACAUCCAUGGCGAAGGCAGCUACCUGGACCAACACUGACACUGAGGCACGAAAGCGUGGGGAGCAAACAGGAUUAGAUACCCUGGUAGUCCACGCCCUAAACGAUGCGAACUGGAUGUUGGGUGCAAUUUGGCACGCAGUAUCGAAGCUAACGCGUUAAGUUCGCCGCCUGGGGAGUACGGUCGCAAGACUGAAACUCAGAGGAAUUGACGGGGGCCCGCACAAGCGGUGGAUAUGUGGUUUAAUUCGAUGCAACGCGAGAACCUUACCUGGCCUUGACUGUCGAGAACUUUCCAGAGAUGGAUUGGUGCCUUCGGGAACUCGAACACAGGUGCUGCAUGGCUCUUUGGGUCAGCAAAA
rnacentral:rRNA from 1 species